GACGAACGCUGGCGGCGUGCUUAACACAUGCAAGUCGAACGGAAAGGCCCUGCUUUUGUGGGGUGCUCGAGUGGCGAACGGGUGAGUAACACGUGAGUAACCUGCCCUUGACUUUGGGAUAACUUCAGGAAACUGGGGCUAAUACCGGAUAGGAGCUCUUGCUGCAUGGGGGGGGUUGGCAGGUUUCGGCGGUGGGGGAGGGUGUCCAGGGUUAUCAGCUUGUUGUUGGGGUAGGGGCUUACCAGGGCUUUGCCGGGUAGCCGGCCUGAGAGGGUGGCCGGCCACAUUGGGACUGCGGUACGGCCCAGACUCCUACGGGAGGCAGCAGUGGGGAAUAUUGCACAAUGGGCGGAAGCCAGAUGCAGCAACGCCGCGUGCGGGAUGACGGCCUUCGGGUUGUAAACCGCUUUCGCCUGUGACGAAGCGUUAGUGACGGUAAUGGGUAAAGAAGCACCGGCUAACUACGUG
rnacentral:rRNA from 1 species